AUCGUGUGUCGACCUUUCCGUCACCUGCAUCAAAAUCGGUUCUCCCUAUAUAUCCCUUUUCUUCUUUCUAUUUCAAUCUUUAAUGACUCAAAAGUGAAAAAUAUGUAUUUCUCUCCCACGAAAUUUUAUUAAAUUUGGUUCAAAAAAUGAAAUCAAAGAUUAGAUUACAUGAACUUGGAUCUGGGUUUUUCCGUAAUGGUUCUAAGACUAAUGCUUUUAGUUAAUUACUUGUUUUACUUGACAACAAUUUGCAGAUCUGUAUGAUGGUAAUACAUCUAUCCUUAGAUAUGGUAUGGUUUUUGUUCUUGAAGAUGGUGUAGAGGUACUAAUUCACCCACUUUAGCCUUUUCUUUCAUUAUAUAUAGUUGCCCAUAUUAAUAAUUGACCAUUGCUUCUGAAUAUGACUCACACUGUGUUAUAGCAAUACUAUUAUGAAGCUUUUGAGCUGAAACUUUAUUCCUAACAAGUUCAUUUAGACUUGGAUAACAAAGUAGCUACCUUGUCAGAACAGAGGUAAUAUUCAACUAAAAAUCUGCAGUUUUACUUUUCUCCUAUGGCAGUGGCUGACCAAUUCGCAACUUUCCAUCAUACAUGCACAAGUCAUUGUUCAUGUAUUGUUGGUGAACAUAUGCUUCAAAUUCUAUAGUAGAAAUACUUUAUACUGCAUUCCAAACUUUUUUGCUGAGAGCCUUGGUAUUUGUAUAAUAUAUAGAUCAAAUAUAUAAUUGAAGGCCAGGAAACAAUGGUGGAAUAUUUUCACACUUUUUCAUAUAAAAAAAUAUCUCAUACUUGCUUCAACACUGAUGGGCAUUAAAAAUGAGCAAAACUAAUGCUAGCUAAUGAGAUCAUUUUUGUCUUUCUUUUAGUUGGCAGCUAUGGAAUUGCAUUCAACAAACAAGAACAACGGAAUAGCAUAACCUUUCACAGGGAAGGCAUAGAGAAAAUGAAAUUGGAAUCAGUUCUGAAAUUUCAAAGAAUUUAGCUUGUUGUAUGCCUCCAAGAUCUUAUAGUGACAAUGAGUUCAAGGUUAUUUAACAGACUUUGAGCAAGCUCAAGGUUUGAAAUGGUGGGGGAGUUGAGCAAUUACUCAAGUACUGUAUGGUGUUUCGUCAACGUACAAGAUAUACUUACUGCAUUGCUGGUUCACUCCCAGAUAAGUGGCGAAGUGACUCAACAUCAAAAGUUUUGAAGCUGUUUUAGAGAAGUAAUAGAGUAGUUUUAUUUUAUGAUUAUUAUUCUUAUUCUAUUAAGAUUUGUAUCACAGUACACAAGGUAGGAAAACUUGUUGGCAUAGACAAUGCAGUAGGUGUGUAAUUUUAUGAAUGUCAC